rnacentral:rRNA from 1 species
UACGAAGGGUGCAAGCGUUACUCGGAUUUACUGGGCGUAAAGCGCGCGCAGGCGGCACUCUAAGUACGUCGUGAAAUAUCCCGGCUCAACCGGGAGGGUGCGAUGUAGACUAGGGAGCUAGAGGUCGGUAGAGGGGGGUGGAAUUGCUGGUGUAGCGGUGAAAUGCGUAGAGAUCAGCAGGAACACCCGUGGCGAAGGCGGCCCCCCUGGGCCGUACCUGACCGCUGAGGCGCGAAGGCUAGGGGAGCGAACGGG